rnacentral:rRNA from 1 species
GAUGAACGCUAGCGACAGGCUUAACACAUGCAAGUCGAGGGGCAGCACAGGUAGCAAUACCGGGUGGCGACCGGCGCACGGGUGAGUAACGCGUAUGCAACUUGCCUAUCAGAGGGGGAUAACCCGGCGAAAGUCGGACUAAUACCGCAUGAAGCAGGGGCCCCGCAUGGGGAUAUUUGCUAAAGAUUCAUCGCUGAUAGAUAGGCAUGCGUUCCAUUACGCAGUUGGCGGGGUAACGGCCCACCAAACCGACGAUGGAUAGGGGUUCUGAGAGGAAGGUCCCCCACAUUGGUACUGAGACACGGACCACACUCCUACGGGAGGCAGCAGUGAGGAAUAUUGGUCAAUGGGCGCGAGCCUGAACCAGCCAAGUCGCGUGAGGGAUGAAGGUUCUAUGGAUCGUAAACCUCUUUUAUAAGGGAAUAAAGUGCGGGACGUGUCCCGUUUUGUAUGUACCUUAUGAAUAAGGAUCGGCUAACUCCGUGCCAGCAGCCGCGGUAAUACGGAGGAUCCGAGCGUUAUCCGGAUUUAUUGGGUUUAAAGGGUGCGUAGGCGGCCUUUUAACUCAGCGGUGAAAGUCUGUGGCUCAACCAUAGAAUUGCCGUUGAAUCUGGGGGGCUUGAGUAUGUUUGAGGCAGGCGGAAUGCGUGGUGUAGCGGUGAAAUGCAUAGAUAUCACGCAGAACCCCGAUUGCGAAGGCAGCCUGCCAAGCCAUUACUGACGCUGAUGCACGAAAGCGUGGGGAUCAAACAGGAUUAGAUACCCUGGUAGUCCACGCAGUAAACGAUGAUCACUAGCUGUUUGCGAUACACUGUAAGCGGCACAGCGAAAGCGUUAAGUGAUCUACCUGGGGAGUACGCCGGCAACGGUGAAACUCAAAGGAAUUGACGGGGGCCCGCACAAGCGGAGGAACAUGUGGUUUAAUUCGAUGAUACGCGAGGAACCUUACCCGGGUUUGAACGCAUUCGGACCGAGGUGGAAACACCUUUUCUAGCAAUAGCCGUUUGCGAGGUGCUGCAUGGUUGUCGUCAGCUCGUGCCGUGAGGUGUCGGCUUAAGUGCCAUAACGAGCGCAACCCUUGCCACUAGUUACUAACAGGUAAAGCUGAGGACUCUGGUGGGACUGCCAGCGUAAGCUGCGAGGAAGGCGGGGAUGACGUCAAAUCAGCACGGCCCUUACAUCCGGGGCGACACACGUGUUACAAUGGCGUGGACAAAGGGAAGCCACCUGGCGACAGGGAGCGAAUCCCCAAACCACGUCUCAGUUCGGAUCGGAGUCUGCAACCCGACUCCGUGAAGCUGGAUUCGCUAGUAAUCGCGCAUCAGCCAUGGCGCGGUGAAUACGUUCCCGGGCCUUGUACACACCGCCCGUCAAGCCAUGGGAGCCGGGGGUACCUGAAGUCCGUAACCGCGAGGAUCGGCCUAGGGUAAAACU